CUGUGUGCAGACACUAUUCUAAGUUCACUGUGUAAAUUCACUUCUUUAAUUCUGCCAACAGAGAAAUGAUAUUUUAUAGAUGAUAAAACUGAGAUAGAGUUUGAUAUAGCUUAGUAGGUCCUAAAUUUGGAUGCAUAUCAAAAAUUGCCCCAUGCUAUAGCUUGGAUCAGGAAUGUCCUCCAAAGGUCUGUGUGUUAUGGAGGCUUUGUCCCUAACUUGGCAUUUCUGGGAGGUGGUGGAACCUUUAAGAGGUGGAGCCUAGUGGGAGGUCUUCAGGUCACUGGGGGUGUGUUUUGGAAAGGGAUUGUGGGACCCCAGCCCCUUCCUUCUUUCUUUUGCUUUCUGGCCAUGAGAGGGGUGGAAUAUGUUUGGCUGCAUGUUUCCUGCCGUUAGAGACAGGGUCAACCUCCCAUGGACUGAAGUCCUCCAAAAGUAUGAGCCAAAAUAAACCUUUCCUCUGUAUAAGUUUCCAAUCUCAGGUUAUUUUUUACAGUAAUGGAAAGCUAACUAAUGCACCCAGGAAACUUAUUAAAAAUUAGAAGUGACAGAUGACAUCCAGCUCUGCUGAAUUAAGCUCUCCAGUCUAUGGGGCCUGGGAGUGUAGAGAUUUAAUAAGCUCCUCAGGUAAUUUUGAUGCAGCCAACCCAGCACCCUUAAAUGAACUAAUAUUUGGGAAACCCUUACUUGAUUUUGGUGAUGAGACUGAGGUUCAGAUUAGGAGUUGACCAACCCAUAGCGACUUGGCAAGCUCCGUGGCAGAUUUAAAAAAAUCAAAGGACAGCCGGGCAUGGUGGCACAUGCCUAUAAUCCCUGCUACUCGAGAGGCUGAGACAAGAGGAUUGUGAGUUCAAAGCCAACCUCAGCAAAGGCGCUAAGCAACUCAUUGAGACCCUGUCUCUAAAUAAAAUACAAAAUAGGCUCAGUGGUUGAGUGACCUUGAGUUCAAACCCUGGUACACCCCCUGCAAAAAAAAAAAAAAAGAAGAAGAAGAAGAUCAAAGGACAGCACUUUCUACCCAGACCUGCUUUCAUGUUGAAGGUCAAAUGGCUGAUGAUGUGUUGACUUGUUCUUCCUGAGAGCCAUCUGAAGCCACUUCUUAUUAGAUAA
rnacentral:lncRNA from 1 species